CCUGGCUUUGUGCAUUGGGUUCUGGUGCCUGAUGGACACAUUUUUCCAGUUACAGGCCGAAUGGUCUCAAUGUAGCUGAAGAACUGUGCCCACUGAUCAGUAUUACGUAUUGCAAAUGCAGGAGGUGGCUGUAUCUGACAGACCCAGGCCUUCCAGCUCCGACAGAUCCAGUUCUGGGAUGGGCAUCCUCCAGAAAAGAAAGGAACUGUACUGGCUACUCACAGGGUCCCUCAUAGCUUCCUAGAAAGAAACCACUUGUCAGUCUUCAUGCUACAGCAACUUCUUUGUGGCCCAUGGCCUUUCCUUGCUUAGAUACUCCACAUACUGUUCUCCCCGCAGGGGCGGCGGCCUUGAGGGGCUGCAGAGGCACCCUCCCACGUCCCGCGCAGUGCAGUGCCUCCGCAGUCCAGAGGGGAGCAGUGCGCCGGGCUCCGAGCCGGACGGGUUUCGUAAUCGCGUCGCCGCCGCUUCCGCCCUCAGCCGGCCCCACCUCUGCCGGCUCGUACUCGGCUCCCCCACCUCGCCGCAGAGCUAGCCCGGGAAGCCCACACUGGCGGCCACGGAGCAGAGUCCCUCACCCCC
rnacentral:lncRNA from 1 species